GACAAGUUCAACCUCCUCUCUCUCACUUUCUCUUUCUCUCUCUGUCUCUCCCUUCACCUGUCUUUUCCCUGUUCCAUGGGAUGACACAGCAAAAAGACCCCUGCCAGAUGUUAGCCCCUUGAUUUUGGACCUCUCAGCCUUCAGAACUAUGGAGUCUUGCUCUGUCGCCAGGCUGGAGUGCAAUGGUGCAAUCUUGGCUCACUGCAACCUCCGCCUCCCCAGUUCAAGCAAUUCUUCUGCCUCAGCCUCCCGAGUAGCUGAGACUACAGUGGACCAGAGGAGAAGAUAUGGAUGAACUCCUUGGACCCACCCUGUUCCCAGCUCAUCUGGGAGAAUGAAGCUAAUUGGUAAAUCCACUGUUUGAUGCUUGUAAUGAAGACUCAAGGAGUUCUGUCUCUACCAAGUUCCUUGCCCUUAAUGACUCAAGAAUUAAUUUUAUCUUUUCCUCUCAAAACCUUGAAAGAAAUGCUUGAGUCCUUGUAACCUGUAAAAUAAAUGUUGUUACUGAAGGGAAAAGCAAAUUCCCUGGUUGCAUUGACUGCAUGGAAUAUUAUGGUAAGAUUUGCUACAAUGCAUUUCUCUCCUCUUUCUGCCAUUUUGAAAGCAGCCCAACGUGAAAACUUGCUGAGAUGCUAACCAAUGUCUCUACCCUUGGCUGCAACAAGAAGAUCACUGGCCAGGCACAGCCCCCUCUAGGAGAUGGAUCUUAGGCAAAACCGUGAAUGGUGCUAUCACAAAGCACAGCCCAUCCUGAUUCCUGUCUGCCUCUUCAUGGCCAUUUGUUGACAUCUCCAUAGUUGUGCUGGAUUGGACCUGGAGUGAUUCAUCA
rnacentral:lncRNA from 1 species